GGAGGUUCCCUGACUUUUCUUCAGCACUCUGGGGCACGGUGCCCACUUCCUCUCGAGUGAACCCACUCUGUUAUGGAAUGCUAAUUUCCCUCUUCAUAUUGAGAUACUAUCUGCCUUCCUAUAGAUUCUUCCCAAACGUUCAGUUUCCACCCGCUCCCUGAGCCUGAGGGAAGCCCAUCGGCAGUGAUGAGUCUCAUAGUGCCUGGCCCCUGGCCUCAUCUCCCAUUCGUUCCUGGGCCUGCUUCUCUGGUUCCGACUUUUGGCUUCUCUCAUUGACUAGGAUAAAUUCUGUUUUGUUUGUUUUGUUUUCCCUGGCUGCCCUGAGCAACACACACUCUCGUGGGGAUAAUUCCCUUCAAUUAGCCCCAUUACUUCAAGUAGGAAUUGACCCCACAUAAUCUGUUUAUUCAUCACUGUACUCCUUCAUUCCAUCUUGGUCCAUUUGGGCUGCUAUAAGGAAGGACCAUAGAUUGACAACAGAAAC
rnacentral:lncRNA from 1 species